rnacentral:rRNA from 1 species
GAGUUUGAUCAUGGCUCAGGAUGAACGCUAGCGGCAGGCCUAACACAUGCAAGUCGAGGGGUAAGUCAUUUCGGUGGCUGAGACCGGCGCACGGGUGCGUAACGCGUAUGCAAUCUGCCUUUUACAGAGGGAUAGCCCAGAGAAAUUUGGAUUAAUACCUCAUAGUAUUAUGAAUCGGCAUCGAUUUAUAAUUAAAGUUUCAACGGUAAAGAUGAGCAUGCGUCCCAUUAGCUAGAUGGUAAGGUAACGGCUUACCAUGGCGACGAUGGGUAGGGGUCCUGAGAGGGAGAUCCCCCACACUGGUACUGAGACACGGACCAGACUCCUACGGGAGGCAGCAGUGAGGAAUAUUGGUCAAUGGGCGCAAGCCUGAACCAGCCAUGCCGCGUGCAGGAUGACGGUCCUAUGGAUUGUAAACUGCUUUUGUACAGGAAGAAACACUCCUACGUGUAGGAACUUGACGGUACUGUAAGAAUAAGGAUCGGCUAACUCCGUGCCAGCAG